UGCCCCCGACAGGCCUCAAACCGCCCUCCUUCCCCGGACCGACGAUGGCAGAGGCUCGAAGGGCUCCUCCGCCUCCGAUUGGGUGGGAGGACUGUCCGUCAGGCCAGGCGCCUUCACUGAUUGGUGCAGUGCUAGCACAAGCACCGCCCUCUUCGGGGUGGGGCUCCGCACAUCACGUGAUUCCCCAAAGGCUGCCGCUCUUGAGCGAGCUUCACGUUUCCUUGGGCAACGUGUCCGCGCCUCCUGAGGAUGAUUGACGGUUCAUGGCUACGCCUAGCACCCCACCAGCUUGAAACAAUCUCAACUACUGGAGAAAUGCAAAGGCCAAGACUCCUCAAAAGCUUUGCCUUGGAUCUCCAUACCGGCCUUGACUGCAGACAUCCAUCCUGAUCCAACCAAACCUGAAAGAUCAAACUGGGGAUUGUGACAACCUCUGGAGCAAGGAGAAAGCGGCCCAGAAUAGGGCAGAGGAAGACCGUACAAAAAAAGGGCCAGCUGAGCCUGACGUCUAUGCUUUUGUUUCCUAUGAGUGGUCACAUGGGAGAAGACCAG